GGGGAUGCAAAGGUUUCGAUAGUGUAAUUAGAGUUUAGGAUACAUUCCGAGGAAUUCAGUGGACUCGUUAAAACUGAUAAAAAACAUAAAAGUCGAAGAAGAAUAUUCUUACGCUCUUGCUUGCUAGAAAUAGUAAGUAAGUAUUUUUAAGUGAAGUUUCACAAUAGCUUAAAAAUAUCAAUAUAGUGAAUAGAUUGUAAAAUAUCUGAUAUUACAAUUGAGAUUAAUCAGGUUAAUAAGUUGGUUUUACGUUCUGGGUUAGCUAACUUAUGAAAUUAAACUAGAAAUAUGAAUGUAUAUUCUUAAAUUUGAGGUAUGCUAGACUCGGGUUCGACUCCCGACAUUUCCAUUU
rnacentral:tmRNA from 1 species